UACGUAGGUGGCAAGCGUUGUCCGGAAGUAUUGGGCGUAAAGCGCGCGCAGGCGGUCCUUUAAGUCUGAUGUGAAAGCCCACGGCUCAACCGUGGAGGGUCAUUGGAAACUGGGGGACUUGAGUGCAGAAGAGGAAAGCGGAAUUCCACGUGUAGCGGUGAAAUGCGUAGAGAUGUGGAGGAACACCAGUGGCGAAGGCGGCUUUCUGGUCUGUAACUGACGCUGAGGCGCGAAAGCGUGGGGAGCAAACAGG
rnacentral:rRNA from 1 species